GGAGUCUUGUCCUAACAGGGCAGGUCAUAUUGUCUCAUUUUUACUUUUAAUGGAGGAAUAAAUUUUAUAAUUGAGAGCCGUGCUAAACUCUCUACCAGUGGAGCUACAUCCCCAGUGCCUAGGUCAAUUUUUUUCCAGGAAAUAAUGGAUGUGACAUGACUUUGGAAGACAAUUUACAGUGUGAGAAGCAUGGACUCCUGAGUGAUGAAGGCUAUCCAUUGCUGCAUUGAAAGGAACCUGGACAAGUGGCUGGAAGCUGGUCUGACUUCUCUGCCAGAAGUUGCUUCCUCUCCUUUGCUGCUGGGCAGUCACGGAGGCUUCUUGCCCUGACUGCCACGUGCCAGCCACCACCUGUCCUCGCUUGAGUGAGGAGCAGGUGUAGCUCUCUUGGUUCUUCUCAUUGGGCCUAUGAGAGGAUUAAUUAGUUGGGGCUGGGGACUCUGGAUUUGCUGUACAGUGGAGUGGACUGGGUGAGCCUAUGAGACAUGCCUCACAAACCCUUCCAUAUCCAGCUCUACCCUAUGUGCUCUCAAGAGCCUUCCGGACUCCCAGAGGUGGAAGGUUCAAAUGGAGAGCAAAGCUGAGGCCUUGGAGCCGUGAUGUGUGGCGGUCCACAGUAGCUACCGGAGGAGGAUGCACGACCUGCUUCAAGACCACCAUGCCUGUCUCAAGGUGUCCCUCAAGCCUGCCUGAUCAUCAGCACAGGGGCCUAGGGGGCCUAUCAACACCCUAGAAAUGAUCUGCCAUAUCCCCACUCCAAUCGGAUCAUUUGCAGGAACCCCCAUCAUGAGUGAGAUGUCAGACUCAGAGGCCAGGGAGCAUCCAGACUCCUAGGGCGUUCACAGCCACCGCAUCUUACUUCUGAAUUUGCAACGAGGGGACUAAGCCUCAGAGAGGUCAAAGUGGCCAGACAAUGACAUGGAAGGACCAAGACAAGAACCCAGGAUGAGCUUCUCCCGCCUGCCUCUCCAGGGCCUCUGGACACUAGGAUCAACAGCCCAUUUCUCAGAUGAGGGACUGAGGUGCACAGGUGUUCAAUCCCCGGGGCACAGUCAGCUGGGCUCUGGAGUCUCUCUUCUUAAUCUCUCACUACUCUGAAAGAUGGAGAAACUGAGGCACGAGGCGGUUUCUCCACGGUCGUGUAUGAACAGAAAGCAGGCUACUGGAGUUCAAGUCAGAGUUCUCGAAAUCCACAACGGAGCAAGUGCCUUGACUGAGCCAAAGCCCAGCUAGCUUGCCGGCUUCAAUUAAACCGUUUGCUUUUCUGACCAAAGGAUAAUUUAACUAAUAGCACCGGUUUUCUGACACUAUUGAUCGGCCAAGAUUAAAUAUGUUUGUCACAGUCA
rnacentral:lncRNA from 1 species